rnacentral:rRNA from 1 species
GAUGAACGCUGGCGGCGUGCCUAAUACAUGCAAGUCGAGCGAACAGACGAGGAGCUUGCUCCUCUGACGUUAGCGGCGGACGGGUGAGUAACACGUGGAUAACCUACUUAUAAUACUGGGAUAACUUCGGGAAACCGGAGCUAAUACCGGAUAAUAUAUUGAACCGCAUGGUUCAAUAGUGAAAGACGGUUUUGCUGUCACUUAUAGAUGGAUCCGCGCCGCAUUAGCUAGUUGGUAAGGUAACGGCUUACCAAGGCAACGAUGCGUAGCCGACCUGAGAGGGUGAUCGGCCACACUGGAACUGAGACACGGUCCAGACUCCUACGGGAGGCAGCAGUAGGGAAUCUUCCGCAAUGGGCGAAAGCUUGACGGAGCAACGCCGCGUGAGUGAUGAAGGUCUUCGGAUCGUAAAGCUCUGUUAUUAGGGAAGAACAACUGUGUAAGUAACUAUGCACGUCUUGACGGUACCUAAUCAGAAAGCCACGGCUAACUACGUG